rnacentral:pre_miRNA from 1 species
AACGGCCACGUGUAUACUCAUAGCUAUAACCUGAUAUCCGAAUGUUAUUGCUUGAGAAUACACGUAGUUUAA